GGAUAUGUAGUUCAGCAAGGUAGAACAACGCACUGGGGACAAAAGUGACAACCAUAGCGAAAGUCCUUGGUGUAACCCAUGGGAGCGCGGAGAUACGGGUUCGAGUCUCACCAUAUCCA